rnacentral:rRNA from 1 species
UACGUAGGGUGCGAGCGUUAAUCGGAAUUACUGGGCGUAAAGCGUGCGCAGGCGGUCUCGUAAGCUGGGUGUGAAAGCCCCGGGCUUAACCUGGGAACGGCAUUCAGGACUGCGAGGCUCGAGUGUGGCAGAGGGAGGUGGAAUUCCACGUGUAGCAGUGAAAUGCGUAGAGAUGUGGAGGAACACCGAUGGCGAAGGCAGCCUCCUGGGCCAGCACUGACGCUCAUGCACGAAAGCGUGGGGAGCAAACAG